rnacentral:rRNA from 1 species
CACGUAGGGCGCAAGCGUUUGUCCGGAAUUAUUGGGCGUAAAGAGCUCGUAAGCGGUCUGUUGCGUCCGCUGUGAAAACUCGGGGCUUAACCCCGAGCCUGCAGUGGAUACGGGCAGACUAGAGGUAGGUAGGGGAGAAUGGAAUUCCCGGUGUAGCGGUGAAAUGCGCAGAUAUCGGGGGGGAACACCAGUGGCGAAGGCGGCCGACUGGGCCGAUCCUGACGCUGAGACCCGAAAGCCAGGGUAGCGAACCGG